rnacentral:tRNA from 1 species
UGUUCUAUGGCUUAGUUGGUUAAAGUACCGGUCUAGUGAACACGAAGUCGUUGGUUUGAAUCCCACCAGAACGC